AAAAAAGAGACAUUUUAAUUGGAUAAUAAAGUCAUACGAGGGACGAGUAAGGCCCCAAAGCAAUACAUUCUUGGCCAGUCAUGGACUGUUCAAGACACUGACUCAGAGCUCUGGGCCAAACCUCUGUCUUGAAUAUAUUUUAAUUAAGAUAUAAUGAAAUAUAUUUAAUUAAAAUGAAAAUGAAAAUUUAAACAUUUUUUAAAAAUUUAUUUUUAAAAACAUUUUUGUCUUUUUUUAGGGCCGCACCUAUGGCAUAUGGAGGUUCCCAGGUGCAGCCCUAAAAAGAAAAAAAAGGAAAAAAAAAAGAAAAAGAGGGGUCUUGCAGAGACCACUGAUGAUGUGCCUUGAAUGGAAGAGGUUUCAUGAUAGAACUCAGAAGAAAAAGACACUGGGGUUCCCAUCGUGGCUCAGCGAGUUAAGAACCUGACCAGUAUCUGUGAGGAUAUGGGCUUGAUCCCUGGCCUCUCUUAGUGGGUUAGGGAUCUAGCAUCGACAUAGCUGCAGUGUAGGUCACAGAUGUGGCUCUGAUCUGGCGUUGCUGUGGCCGUGGCGUAGGCCAGCAGCUGAAGCUCUGAUUCGACUCCUAGCCUGGGCACUUCCAUAUGCUGCAGGUGCAGCCCUAAGAAGAAAAAAAAAGUCCAGCAUCCACUGAGAAUGUGUUUCCAUACAAAGUCUGCGCACACCUGAAGGACGAAGAGGGAGCACGCAGGCGUGGGAAGGAGAGCUGCAGUGCGGUAGAUGACAGCCUCAGGGCUCCGAAUACUCUUCACAAUUCUUCUUAACCUCCUUAGUAGCCCCUGGCCACCCUCGACUCUAUCGAUCCAGCCCUCAGGCGUCUAUGCAGACUGGGGCGUCCACUGCGCACUUCUCUGCCCUCUGUCUGGCGAAUUCCCACACUUCGUUACAACUCAGCUUAAACACUGCCCCCCCACCUCACCCCCCGGCAGGAGGCAUCCCCCUGCCUCCCAGAGCUGAUUCACUGCCUCUUCUUAUCUUUCCCAGACAACCAGUGAUGGCUCGAGCUGAGCUGCUUCCACACUAGUCUCUUCUUAGAAGCACAGCCUUUCAGGGAGUGGAGAGAAACACUGGGGCCGUGCCAGCCAAGGGAGGAAAGUCUGGCCUGGGAGAGGGGAGAGCUGGGGUGGACUGGACAGUGAAGGGGGUGAGGCCCCUGGGUGAUUUUUGCCUUGGCUUUCCCUUUCAAUUCCCUAGCCCAGCCCUGCCAAGCCAACCAAUUCUGUCAAAUCUUAUUUCUCAGGUGCCUGUGAUCCCAAGACACCGUGGUGCGGGAUUGCAACGCCACGGCCAUUCUUUGAGUGUUGGACCCAGGCAGGGAGGGAAGGCUUGGACGUGAGCAAUGUCAGAUAACAGUGGCAGAAUAGAGUGAAAGACAGCAGAACAGGACAGCAGAAAAGGGAUGGCCUGUGGGCACUGAAUGGUCUGGGUGCAGGGGGCAGGUGCCUGCAGGGGCUGCAAAGGGAAGUCCUCUGAGAACCGGCCCAAUGUCCAGGAGGAUGCAGGCUGGAUGGGGAAGGGGGACUGCAUGCGAACGGUCCACGAGGAGCCCCCGGAUUGGAGGCCAGAACAGAAGAAAACAUCAGGGAGUCUGGGAGGGUUAUCAGGGCCAGAAUUUUGAGGCCCUCGCAAGCCAGGCAGAGGGACAGUGCUGGGAAAACGGCGGUGAGAAAUGCAGAAAGCCGCGCAGCUGAUGAGAGGUGUUUAGGGGGAAAUGGGUCUGGGGGCGGCCCUUCGGGAGGCUGAGGGAAAGAACCCAGUUAGUAAACUCCUCCGAAAUCACAGCCGGGCAGGAGGCACAUGGUACUAGAGUCUCACGUUGUGUCCCCCCCCACCCCAGUCAGCACGACUGACAUCAGCAGCUCACUGGAGCACACUUGCCCCUGACUCCAGGUGCAACUCCAGAGGGUUUUUUAGGCCACUCUGGGCUCCUGGCAGCCCCUACCGAUCCAUCCAGGGUGAUGGGUCAAAUCUCCCCGCCUUGCGGGUUCGAUCAGUCAGGCGAUGUUAUGGGGAACUGACACGCAUCCUCAAAUUCCAGUGGCUUAAAGCGGUGAAGGUUCAUCGCUCAUUCAGGCUACCUGUCCAUCACAGUUGACCAGAGAUGGCUGUCAGCCAGCACCGUCCAGACAGACUGACAGGGCAGCCCCUUCACAGGGCACUGCUGGCCACCAAGGCAGGGGAGAGAGAGAGAUACAUCUUUGGAAGGUCUCUCACUAGCGUUUCAUAUGAAAGCCUGAAAAGGCAUAUCCCUCUGUAUACCACUCAUUGGCCAGAACUGGUCACAGCAGGCAAGGCCGUGGAAUCUUAAUCUCCAAAAGGCAGAGAGUUAGAAAAAAUAAAAGAAAGGCCUGGAGUUCACAUUGUGGUUCAGCAGGUUAAAAACACGACUGGUAUCCAUGAGGAUGCGGGUUUGAUCCCUGGCCUUGC
rnacentral:lncRNA from 1 species